rnacentral:rRNA from 1 species
UACGGGGGGAGCAAGCGUUGUUCGGAUUUACUGGGCGUAAAGGGCGCGUAGGCGGUCCUGUAAGUCUUGUGUGAAAUCCCUCGGCUUAACUGAGGAACUGCACGAGAUACUGCGGGACUUGAGUUCGGGAGAGGAAAGCGGAAUUCCGGGUGUAGCGGUGAAAUGCGUAGAUAUCAGGAGGAACACCGGUGGCGAAGGCGGUUCUCCGGGAAUAUCCUGACGCUGAGGAGCGAAAGUGUGGGGAGCGAACAGG